rnacentral:rRNA from 1 species
UACGUAGGUGGCAAGCGUUUGUCCGGAUUUAUUGGGUUUAAAGGGUGCGUAGGCGGCCCUGUAAGUCAGUGCUGAAAUAUCCCGGGCUUAACCGGGAGGGUGGCAUUGAUACUGCAGGGCUUGAGUACAGAUGAAGUAGGCGGAAUUGACGGUGUAGCGGUGAAAUGCAUAGAUAUCGUCAAGAACACCGAUAGCGAAGGCAGCUUACUAAGCUGUAACUGACGCUGAGGCACGAAAGUGUGGGGAUCAAACAGG